AUAAAAAAAUUAAUAAUAAGAAUAUAAAUAUUAAUUAAAUAAUAAUUAAAUAUAUAUAAAUAAAAAAUAAUUUAGUAAAAGUAAUAAAUUAAUAAAAAUUGUAUAAUAUAAAGUAUUAAGUAAUUAUUUAAUUACAUAAAAUUAGUUAUUUAUAUUUUUACUUUUAAAUAUUGUGCCAGCUAUAGCGGUUAAACAAUAUAGUAAUCAUUAAUAAAAAAAAUUUAUGGGGUGAAAUUAGUAAAUUAAGCUAAAUUUAAUAUUAAAUUAACAGGUGAAAUUUAUAAAUUUAGUUAAUUAUUUAGUUUAUUUAAUUUGAUGUAAUUAUUUUAAAAUAGGAUUAGGUACCCUAGUAUAAAAUUACAAAUUUUCAAUUUAAAUUAGGUUUAAUUAUAUAUAAUUUUUAUUUGGCGGUAGUUUAUUAAUAGGGGGACUUGUUUAUGUAGAUAAAGCUCAAUUAGUUUAUUUAAUUUUAUUUUAUUUAUUGUUGUCAUGAUUAAGCUUUAUAAAUGUAUUUAUCACUAUUUAAUUUAAUAUUAAAUGAUAGAUCAAUAUUUAAACAAAAAUUAAAGAUUAAAUUAGUCACUUUAAUUAAAAAUGAAUAUUUUUUUUAAUUUUUUUUAAGAAUUUAUAAGUAAAAUAAUUUUAAUUAUUUUAUUUGAAAUUUUAUUUUAAACUAUGUUCAUAUUGCCCGUCAAUUCUAUAAAUAAAUGAAUAAGUCGAAACAAAGUUAAUUGAUUGGA
rnacentral:rRNA from 1 species